GACGAACGCUGGCGGCGUGCUUAACACAUGCAAGUCGAACGGAAAGGCCCUGCUUUUGUGGGGUGCCCGAGUGGCGAACGGGUGAGUAACACGUGGGGAACGUGCCCCUUACUUUGGGAUAACUUCAGGAAACUGGGGCUAAUACCGGAUAGGAGCUCCUGCUGCAAGGAGUGGGAUGGAAAGUUUCGGCGGUUGGGGAUGGACUCGCGGCUUAUCAGCUUGUUCGUGGGGUAGAGGCUAACCAAGGCUUUGACGGGUAGCCGGCCUGGGAGGGUGACCGGCCACAUUGCGCCUGAGCUACGGCCCAGACUCUUACGGGAGGCAGCAGUGGGGAAUAUUGCACUAUGGGCGGAAGCCUGAUGCAGCGACGCCGCGUGCGGGAUGACGGCCUUCGGUUUGUAAACCGCUUUCGCCUGUGACGAAGAGUGAGUGACGGUAAUGGGUAAAGAAGCACCGGCUAACUACGUG
rnacentral:rRNA from 1 species